AAUGAUGGCCACGCUGUCUCCACCCGAGACUCAGUGAAAUUGAAAUCGCUGUGAAGAUGCAGUGUACCCGCGGCUAGACGGAAAGACCCCGUGAACCUUUACUACAGCUUGGCACUGAACAUUGAACCUACAUGUGUAGGAUAGGUGGGAGGCUAUGAAGACGUGACGCCAGUUGCGUUGGAGCCGUCCUUGAAAUACCACCCUUGUAUGUUUGAUGUUCUAACUUAGACCCAUUAUCUGGGUUGAGGACAGUGCCUGGUGGGUAGUUUGACUGGGGCGG
rnacentral:rRNA from 1 species